GCCAUUCCUCACUGAAUACACCCCACCCUCAACUGAUCUUGGAAUCUAAGCAGAAUUGGGCCUGGUUAGUACCUGGAUCAGAGACAAACCCACAUCCAACAUCACACUGAAUAGAGAAAAGCUGGAAGC
rnacentral:rRNA from 1 species